rnacentral:lncRNA from 1 species
CCAGGAUUACAGACUUCUUUUAGCAUAUACAGAGAAGCCACAUGAAAGUGGAACUUUCAUUGAAUACUUUUCAUAUUGGACUACUUGUUUGUACUCUCUCUACCUGAAAGGGUUUUAUGAAGACUUUCCAAACGAGCUCCUUUCUGACAACUUGCAAUUGAUCCAACAUUUGAAACCUUAUGCAGGAGCCGGACAGCUUGGUUUUGAAUUAUAAUCUUACAAAUUACUGGCUGUGUGUUAAAUCUUUAAAUUACUGGCUGUGUGACUUUGUAUGAAGAAGAAAAUGCUUUGUCAAGAAAUUCUUUUUUGGACUGAAUUCAUUGUUGCAAAAGAUAGUUAUUUUGGAAAGAAAUUGCUUUAACAGUUUCUCCUGCUACACUAUGACUUGUAUGAAUACAUCCAUAGGCAUAGCGAUAGAAUAAUGAACAGAAAAAUUAAGAAGAACCUGAAAUUAAUAAAUACCUAGGUAUUUGUCAGCAAUCCACCUGCCAUUCUGUAAGCUGCCCUACUCAGAAGCCAAAAGGACGAAAAACAUCCAGCAAUGACCUGAGGUCUGCCAACAGUUCAUUGGUGGAGCUUAGAAGUAGAAUCUACCCCAGUGGAGAUUUGAGAUGAUUCGCUAAAUUGUGAUGAUUGAGAGACCAGAGAUAGAACCAUCCAGCUGAGCUGCACCUAGAUUCCUGCCCAUAGAAACUGAGGAGGCAUCACUUCUUAGCCUUUUGGCUAAGAUCAAAUGUAGAAAUUGUGAGUUACUCUGCGUGUGUGUGUGUGUGUGUGUGUGUGUGUUUUAAACCAGUAAGAUUAGGGUAUCUUUUAUUUAGUAAUAGAUAACUAAGAAAGAUUUUGGUGCCUAGAGUUGGAGUGUUUGCCUAACUUAAUUGCAGAAGUGUUGUUGGAACCAGGUAGUAGCCAUUGAGGAGAGUGAUUAUGAAAGCUUAAAGUGCAUCGAACACACUAUUCAUAGACUUUAUGGGUUUGAGGAGCUUGUGGAUGAGUGGAGAAAACAUUAAAACUGAAAGAAAGGCCAUUGUUGUUAUGUAGUUGAAGAACUGUAAUAAACAUUGUCAUCUGCGUUUAUGUGGAAAGAGGAAAGUGUAUUUAAUGAUCUGUGUGAUCUACUUACUAGCAAAAAAAAGAAGCUAGAACCUGAUGCUGUUUUUUUUUUAAAAAAAAUGCUAAAAUUAGGUGCUAAAUUAAGAAACAGCUUCAAAGUACCGAAUCCAGGGAACUGCCAGAAAAAUAUGGUAUGAGGCUAAAACUGAAGGUAUGAUUGUAAAAGCUCUUCUUAAUACUUCAGAAAGAUAAAAACUGGUGUGAUGGUUCAUUUUAUGGGUCAACUUGGAGGGUGUUUUUGGAUAAAAUUAACCUUUAAGUCAGUGAACUUUGAGUAUGUAGAUUGCCCUCCAUAAUAUGAGUGGACCUCAUCCAGUCAGUUGAAAGUCUAAGUAGAACAAAAACUAUCCUCCCAAAGCAAGAGGCAAUUCUCCAGUAGGCUGCCUUCAGACUUCAUCUGUACCAUCAGUUCUCUUGAAUCUCCAGCCUGCCAGCCCACAUGUAGUUUUUAGACUUCCCAUCCUCCAUAAUUACACGAGCAAAUUCCUUAUAAGAAGUCUCUUUCUAUAUUUAAACACAUCCUGCUGGUUCUGUUUCUUUGGAGAACCCCAACUAAUACAGGUGAUAUCAUAGAGUGCUCUUCAGUCAAAUAAAAGACCCUUGAAGGAGACUAAGGGUGUUUUACACAAAUCUUUUCAAUCCAACCAAAGGAUCUCUGAGAAUUGUGAGGGGUUCCUCUCAUCCUUCUCAAUAGGAGACAAAGGUAUAGAUAGGAGAUUUGUGGCAUGUCUUUUUUCUAGUGGAAUGAACCCCAAAAGGAUUUAUAAAAGACCCACAAAGUCUUUUAAACACUUACAUACGCAAAAACAUCACCAGAUUGAACUGAAAAAGAGGCAUUUGGAUCCCAAAACUUCUACAUUUAGAAAACAGGCUGUGAAAACUACUUAGCUGCUAAUGCAUGCUGACUUUUACAAUAAAGAGUAAAUGGCUUUGCGAGCAGAACCAAGGGCCCAGAAGGCAGAGUGAACUAGGAAGCCGACCCUUACUAAGUCCAGUUUUGGGAUAACUAAGCCCUUCUUGCAAUUGGGUUGCAAUAUCUCUAGAAACUGUGAGCAAGAGACACCCAGUCAAGCUACACUUCAUUUCUGACUCACAAAAACUGUCAGAUUAAACUGUUUUUUAAGUGGUUGAAUGUUGAAUAAUAGAGAAAUCACUGGUAGAGAGGGAGAAAUGGACAUUAAGCAGCCUGUUUGUAUAGAUGGGAGUUUAUAGGAGAUGCACAAGUAUUGGUGGUAAGAUUUAGAAGGUGAGUAGAUGAAGGUGAGUAGAUAGUAGUGGUAUCUGGUGAAAGAGGAAGAAAAAUGGAAGAUUAUGGAAUUAAGAAGACAAAAGAAGAAAACAUUUAAAGGUGAAGGUGGAGUCUACUCUCUUCGCAGUUUGAAUGGAGGGCUGUGGGUGAAACAUUAUGUAGAAUAAGGCAAAAACAAAAUACAAUGUGGGAAAAUGAGGGUGCUGAAUAUGAACAGCUAUUCAAACAAUUUUUGUUGGAAAAAAGGAGUGAAGAAAACAGGGUUGCAGCCAAAGAGGAACAUGAAACCAAAGGAUAUAUUUUUAUCUUAAUUUGAAGUGCUAGCGUAUUUAUAUGCUGAAGGAAAAUUGGAAUGGAUGGGGAGAAAUCACACAUGCAUGAGAGAAUAAUUGGAUGGCAUAAAUUGCGAUGACAAAAAUAGAAGGGACCCAGAGAUCAGGCAAAAUAAAUCCCUCUUAUAGGAGCAGGGCAUGGAUCUGUAUUAACAGGGCUGAAAACAGAGGCUAUGUAUUUCGAUAAAAAUUAGUGCAUAGAUUUGAUAUGAGGAUGGUGAGAAAUUUGCCAAAGGAUUUUCAUGGAAUACGUUUCCAUGAUCAUAGAGAGUUUUCUUAUGCCACACUGAUCUAGAUAAAGAUUAUCAUCUUAACAUUAUAGAAAUAUCCUUGUGUUAGGCCAUUGUUGUGUUGCUAUAAAUCUGUAAGACUGGGUAAUUUAUAGAAAAAGAGGAAAUUUAAAUGGCUCACCGUUCUGCAGGCUGUACAGAAAACAGUGCUUCUUGUGAGGGCCUAAGGAAGCUUACAAUCAUGGCAGAUGGUGAAGAGGGAGCAGGCGUCUCACAUGGUGGGAGUGGGAGCAAGAGAGAGAGGGAAAAGGGGAGUCGCACACUUUUAAACAACCAGCACUCUUGACAACUCACUCACUAUUGCAAGGAUAGCACCAAAGGGAUAGAACUAAGCCAUCCAUGAGAAAUUCACCCAAAUAAAUCAAUUGCCUUUAACCAGGCCUCAUUUCCCAUACCGGAGAUUAUAUUCCAACAUGAGAUUGUGGAGGAAACAUAUCCAAGCUAUAUCAAUCCUCUUCUAUUUUCUCCUAAAAUUUAUCUUUUACAUAUUAUUGCUAAGAUAUUUAAGGUAAAUAAUUAUAUCAUCUUCAAAAAUGACAUCACGCAAAUGAUGAAAACACUGAAAAAAUUAUACUUUUUUUUUCCUUUCUCCUUGAUUAAGACUUUGACUUUUUAUUGAAUUUAGCGGAGAUAUUUCUACUCUUUUCCUUAACUAAAUAUUUUCUCCAGGUUUCUAGUAGAUACCAGUCAUCAGAAAAGAGAAAUUUAUUUUGAUACUCUGCUUAUUAAGCCUGACCAAUAUGAUGAAACCCCGUCUCUACUAAACACACAAAAAUUAGCCGGGUGUGGUGGCAUGUGCCUGUUAUCUCAGCUACUCGGGAGGCUGAGACAAGAGAACUGCUUGAACUCAGGAGGCGGAGGUUGCAGUGAGCUGAGGUUGUGCCAUUGCACUCCAGCCAGGGCAACAAGAGUGAAACUCCGUCUCAAAAAAAAAAAAAAAUUAAUGUAACAAAUGAAUUUUAUACCUAAUAUAAUAUUUUGAGGUCAUCUGGAAAACAUAAAUAGUUAUAGUGCAUGUUGUAUAAUAACCAAAAUUCAGUAUUAUAUAUAAAUAAAAGCAUGUUCUGGUGUAAAAACAUUAUUACAAAAUAUUCCACACCUUUCCCUUUCUUGGAUUAAUUUUUUUAAUUUGUUACAAAACAGCUAUGAAUUCUUUCAGAGGGCACUGUAAAACUUCUAAAUUUUUGCCUGGAAGAAAAUGUAUUUUGCCUUUUGAUUUGGACACUUUAGUGACAAUUCACUUUAAAAAAGAGUGUUUCCAGGAAUUUGACUUAUCUCUUACCACUAGUGAUUAAGGCAAAAACACAAAUCUGAUCCUAAUCUAAUUAUCCAUACAUGUUAGACAACCUUAUUUUUCUUUUUAAGAUAUUCACAGAUUUUUGACUUGUGUUUUUGAAUUUUGUUUCUAAAAUUUUAUCAGUCUGAGAGAUAUUAUUAUAAAAUAUAAUAAUGUUUAAAACAUAAUAAUCUAAUAAAUAUCAUUCUUGUUACUUUUAUUGCAAUGGAUUUCUUUUCACCAUCUUCUCUUCCUCUUCUGAAUUUUUCUUUAGAUGAUUACAAGAAAUCUCAUCUAUUCUCUUUGUCAUAACCUUUUUCUGACCCUCCGCAUCUGUUUGGAAUUUGUACCCCUCUUUUAGAUAAUACCAUAGAGCAGACUUUUAACACACAAUGUGCUCAUUGGCUUUGCUCAUCAUCGUUUCCUCCUGUGAGGAGACUUUGAUAUUUUUAAUUUGCACAUAUUCAGAUUUUCUUUUUUUGCAAUGCAGCCUUAUUUACAUUUGCAUUUUUUCAUUAUAACAUUUGACACAUACAAAAUAAUAUAUUUUACACGGAAAUAAGCCAUGAAUCACAAUAAUAAAAUGAACAAAACAUAACCAAAACUGUGAAAUUUACCUGGAUCCUUUUCCAAAACUUUAUAUCCCUCUCUAUAUACUUUGAGUUUUAAGUUAUUUAUCCCUUUGAAUUUUUUAAACUGGAUUACAUUCUAUGUGUAUGAUUUUAAAUGUAUUGUCUAAGACUUUUAAAAAAUAGUGUCAAACGUAUGUAUUCUGCUAAAAUUAUUUUUCAUUCAGCUUUUUGUUUCCCAGAUUCAUGUAUGUCUUUGUAUUCACCUUCUUAUGAGACUCAAUAAAACUUCACCGUGUAAACAC